rnacentral:lncRNA from 12 species
CUGUUCUUAGUAAGCUGAUGGAUUCCAAAGAAGCUAAUAAGAAAACAGGUCAUCUCAUUUUUUUAACACAACAAUUAAAUUAUAUUCUAACAUGUUUGGCUUCUCAUUUAAACCUCUCUGUUCUUACAGAUCUGAUGGAAGAGCUUGGUUUGGGGGAUGCUGAUGAUCUUGAAGAUGCUUCAGACUGGGACUCUGCCAGCACCACCAGUAAGGCCAGUAAGAAAUUCCCAGUUCAUAAGCUGGAUGAGGAACCCGUCUUUGAAAGCCCAGCAGCUUCCGCACUACCCAUAACAUCCGAGGAACAGGACGUGGACACCAGGGAACAUAAAAAAGCCAGUCCAGAGAUAAACAAACCCACAACCUCAAGCACAAAACCUCUACCUAGUCCACGUUCUCUCAACACACACGCCAGCUCAAAACCACAAGCACUGCCACGACUGCGCUUGGACUCCAAUCAGAGGCCGGAGAGUGAAGGUAGAACUCAGAAACUACAAAUCUAGCUUUUGAGAUGAUUUCAAUAAAUAUAUAUGCUGAUACAAGAUGUAUUCAUAUACAGAAUCGGACUGGGAUUUGGAAACUUCCAGUCCAGCCAAGAUGACAAAUUCACUGCCAAAUGUCGCUGAGUCUGAUGCAGGUAAAACUCUUCAAUGUGAGGGUGAAUGUUCAGGGUUUAAUAUACUUCUCACUGUGUUUUAGAUUAUGUUGUGAUGUGUCUGAAUUUCUCUUCAGUUCAUCAGCAGGAACCCAAAGCUGAAGAUGUCGAGAGUGAAGACAGUUCUUACGCAAGUGAAGAUGCAGAUCAGGGUAAUAAGGAACAGUUGGAUGGUAUGAGGGGAGAACACCAGCCCAGUGCUUUAUGGGAUACUAGAGGAACCAGAGAACGAGGUGAACUUGACCAAGUAAAAGGGAAGAAAACUUACAACAACUCUGGGAACCCGAAACCUCAACAGGAAGGGAUGGCUGACGGCAGGUCUUUGGGAAGAGAGGGUAGUGUUUCACCAAGACAUCUGACAAGAAGUCCAAGAAGUACUGACAGGGCACGACCACAUGCUGAGGAAGAUGAAGAGGAGGAAAAGAAAACUGUAGGUAGCCAAGCCAGAAAUCUCCGUGUAGCUCCCCCUCUGCAGGGCAAACCCUCCCGACCUGCGACCCGCCAUAACGGAGACCUCGAGUCUGUCUUUGAUGAUAGUACUUUAAGUGAGCUAUCGGAAGAGGACAGGAGGUAUACAUGCAGUAUUUACAUGCUUUUUAAUGUAAUAUAUUAUUUAUAGCUCGGUUUUAUCUGUUGCAAUGUUGCAGCAGCAUCAUUAUAAGUAUAACUUGGCCUGCACAGAAUCUGUGUGCCCACAGAAUUCAACCAAACUUGAACACCUGUAAUAUUUACACCUGUACACCUGUAAUACGUACACCCACAAUCAGCGUUGAAUUAAUAAAAGCAAAUGAAAAGCAGGCAGAUUCCAUAUGGGCCUUGUUAUAAUGUAAUUUUUUUUAAAGAGAAUACUGCAUUAUAUCCUCAUUUUAGAGCACCAAACUUGCUCUCCGGUAGACUGGUGUUGUCUGAUAAAGUAUAAAAUAAUUUUUUUCUUUGUACUGACAGGUCCCCAUCUUCAAGGCGUAAGAAAGAGCAGGUGAGCUUUUGUCCUGAUAAGUUAAACCUCUAUAAAAAUAAGUGUUCGUUUAAGGGUUUGUUUAAGACUGUCCAAACUGUGCACUGACUUUUGAGAAUAUGAAGGAAAAUGUUACUCAUAAUUGUAAGAGUUUAACACAGGAUACUCAGUGUCACACAUGUGUUGUAUUGACUUUAUUGUCUCCUAUGCAGAGUACUGGAGAGCUGGAGAUGGCAGAUGAUUUUGAAGAUCUCACCCAGUCUUCUGACACAGCCACUGAGGAGCUGGAGACUCCAGUAUCUGGAUACCACAAUGCAUCUCUGCUCUUCAAACAGCUCGACUCCAGUUAUCUGGGUGAGUCGGUCAGCUCCAGUCGGCUGAAAGCAAACAGUUAAGUUCAGAUGUUCAGCAAAUGAAGAUGUUUGCUU